rnacentral:rRNA from 1 species
CAUACCUAUACGUUGCCUCGGCGGAUCAGCCCGCGCCCUGUAAAAAGGGACGGCCCGCCCGAGGACCCUAAACUCUGUUUUUAGUGGAACUUCUGAGUAAAACAAACAAAUAAAUCAAAACUUUCAACAACGGAUCUCUUGGUUCUGGCAUCGAUGAAGAACGCAGCAAAAUGCGAUAAGUAAUGUGAAUUGCAGAAUUCAGUGAAUCAUCGAAUCUUUGAACGCACAUUGCGCCCGCCAGUAUUCUGGCGGGCAUGCCUGUUCGAGCGUCAUUUCAACCCUCAAGCUCAGCUUGGUGUUGGGACUCGCGGUAACCCGCGUUCCCCAAAUCGAUUGGCGGUCACGUCGAGCUUCCAUAGCGUAGUAAUCAUACACCUCGUUACUGGUAAUCGUCGCGGCCACGCCGUAAAACCCCAACUUCUGAAUGUUGACCUCGGAUCAGGUAGGAAUACCCGCUGAACUUAAGCAUAU